rnacentral:rRNA from 1 species
CACGUAGGGGGCAAGCGUUGUCCGGAUUUAUUGGGCGUAAAGAGCUCGUAGGCGGCUCAGUUAGUCGGGUGUGAAACCCCCGGGCUCAACCCGGGGACGCCACCCGAUACUGCUGUGGCUAGAGUCCGGUAGGGGAGCGUGGAAUUCCUGGUGUAGCGGUGAAAUGCGCAGAUAUCAGGAAGAACACCCGUGGCUAAGGCGGCUCUCUAGUACGGUACUGACGCUGAGACGCGAAAGCGUGGGGAGCGAACAGG